GAGACACACAGAGACAUCUCCUAUGAGUUAUGGAGGAGAGACACACAGAGACUUCUCCUAUGAGUUAUGGAGGAGAGACACACAGAGACAUCUCCUAUGAGUUAUGGAGCAGAGACACACAGAGACAUCUCCUAUGAGUUAUGGAGGAGAGACACACAGAGACUUCUCCUAUGAGUUAUGAAGUAGAGACAGACAUAGACUUCUCCUAUGAGUUAUGGAGCAGAGACACACAGAGACUUCUCCUAUGAGUUAUGGAGCAGAGACACACAGAGACUUCUCCUAUGAGUUAUGGGGUAGAGAUUAACAUAUACCUUUCAUAUGAGUUAUGGAGCAGAGACACACAGAGACUUCUCCUAUGAGUUAUGGAGCAGAGACACACAGAGACUUCUCCUAUGAGUUAUGGAGCAGAGACACACAGAGACUUCUCCUAUGAGGUAUGGAGCAGAGACACACAGAGACAUCUCCUAUGAGUUAUGGAGCAGAGACACACAGAGACUUCUCCUAUGAGUUAUGGAGCAGAGACACACAGAGACUUCUCAUAUGAGUUAUGGAGCAGAGACACACAGAGACUUCUCCUAUGAGGUAUGGAGCAGAGACACACAGAGACUUCUCCUAUGAGUUAUGGAGCAAAGACAAACAGAGGAGAACAA